GUCAGGAUGGCCGAGCGGUUUAAGGAGCUGCGUUCAGGUCGUAGUCCGGUCUUCCGGGCGUGGGUUCGAAUCCCACUUCUGACA
rfam:Ixodes scapularis strain Wikel colony gcontig_1108379610344, whole genome shotgun sequence.